rnacentral:rRNA from 1 species
UACGGGGGGGGCAAGCGUUGUUCGGAAUUACUGGGCGUAAAGGGUUCGUAGGUGGCUUGCUAAGUCAGACGUGAAAUCCCUCAGCUUAACUGGGGAACUGCGUCUGAGACUGGCAAGCUUGAGUGCAGGAGAGGAAUGCGGAAUUCCAGGUGUAGCGGUGAAAUGCGUAGAUAUCUGGAGGAAUACCGGUGGCGAAGGCGGCAUCCUGGACCGGCAUUGACGCUGAGGAGCGAAAGCGUGGGGAGCGAACAGG